CGCACCCUUACCAUUAACCAAAGGGUUCCAUGGAUCCCAUGUUGGGAACCCUUGCUGUGGAAGGAUAAAGAUUGAGAAGACCAGCAACAAGCAUAAGACAUGGACCCAUUUGAUGUCAAUUUAGCAUUAUAUCUAGCUUGCUAUGCCUGUGGACUAUUGGAAAUAGUUAUAGGGUAGCUGUCAAGGUGGAACUGAAAGAUUCGAGGGCACAAUUUUGAAGAAGAGAAGGAAACCUAUUUCCAAUGUCCUGACUGGCAUUUAUCAGAAAUCAGAUUUAAUAUCACCGGCAUAUGUCAUGAAAUUUGUUAACAUUACAGCAGCACGACAAAAUAA